AUUCAGCUAGCGAGUCCGAAAUAGGAUGAAACGCGCGUCCUGGAU
rnacentral:hammerhead_ribozyme from 1 species